AGACGUAUUGUCUCCAAAAUUAAUAGAUUAACAUUUAAUAGUUUUCUGUCGAGCUUGCGACAUUAAACAAAGCGCUUCAUGGGAGACAACCCACAAAUUUUUAUUUUUCUUUGAUUAUUCUUUUGAUUUUAUUUAGUUUUCAUUCUUCAUUUUCUUUAUUUUAUUAAAUUUUUCUUCUUUUCUUCUUUCGGCAUCUGGCCAAAUCCUGACUAAAAUU
rnacentral:lncRNA from 1 species